rnacentral:rRNA from 1 species
AUUGAACGCUGGCGGCAGGCUUAACACAUGCAAGUCGAGCGGUAGCACAGGGGAGCUUGCUCCCUGGGUGACGAGCGGCGGACGGGUGAGUAAUGUCUGGGAAACUGCCUCAUGGAGGGGGAUAACUACUGGAAACGGUAGCUAAUACCGCAUAACGUCGCAAGACCAAAGAGGGGGACCUUCGGGCCUCUUGCCAUCAGAUGUGCCCAGAUGGGAUUAGCUAGUAGGUGGGGUAAUGGCUCACCUAGGCGACGAUCCCUAGCUGGUCUGAGAGGAUGACCGGCCACACUGGAAUGAGGACACGGUCAAGACCCUUAGGGAAGGCAGCGGGGGGGAAUAUGGCAAAAGGGGGGAAAGCUUAAUGCAGCCAGGCGGCGGGUGGGAAGAAGGCCUUCGGGUGGUAAAGCACUUACAGCGAGGAGGAAGGUGGUGAGCUUAAUACGUUCAUCAAUGGACGUUACUCGCAGAGGAAGCACCGGCUAACUCCGU